GAUGAACGCUAGCUACAGGCCUAACACAUGCAAGUCGAGGGGAAACGGCAGCUUAGCUUGCUAAGCUGGACGUCGACCGGCGCACGGGUGAGUAACGCGUAUCCAACCUGCCCACCACUUGGGGAUAACCUUGCGAAAGUAAGACUAAUACCCAAUGACGUCUCUAGAAGACAUCUGAAAGGGAUUAAAGAUUUAUCGGUGAUGGAUGGGGAUGCGUCUGAUUAGCUUGUUGGCGGGGUAACGGCCCACCAAGGCGACGAUCAGUAGGGGUUCUGAGAGGAAGGUCCCCCCACAUUGGAACUGAGACACGGUCCAAAACUCCUACGGGAGGCAGCAGUGAGGAAUAUUGGUCAAUGGGCGAGAGCCUGAACCAGCCAAGUAGCGUGCGGGAUGAAGGCCCUANGGGUUGUAAACCGCUUUUUUCAGGGGGGAUAAAGUGAGUAACGUGUCAUUCAUUGCAGGUACCCUGCGAAUAAGGACCGGCUAAUUCCGUG
rnacentral:rRNA from 1 species